UUCGUCAUCAUGGCCCUUCAGCUCUGCUAAAAUGAAAAUGUCUUUGCAAUCCUGUUUGCAACUGCAUUUCCACUGUCAGCAAGGCAGUCCUGUCGUUUAAGCGCUGUGGGUUUGUUGGAUGUAUCAAGCGGGUUAAAGAAGCCGCGAUGUCCAUCUGUCCACCGAUCACUGCCCCUUUGGAAGGUCCUCGUCUGAGAAAGUCCUCAGCGAGCCGCCCGCAGCACACAGCGCUACUGUCCACAUUGGUCCAGCUGCAGUUCUGAAGUGGAACAACAAAGCCACAGCUCAUGAGAUGGAUUCUCCUGCGGCCGAUCACCUCAAGCAUGCCCCCUGCAGAGCUUUUAACUUUUUUUUUUCUUUUCUUGUUUGACUUCUCAGAAACUAAAAUGCAAGAUUUUGUCUUGUUAAAUAAUCACCUUGAUUUCCUUUACAUUAAAACAUUGAAAAUCAUGUACAAUACUGACACAGCUUAUGGUUCAAAGGUUUGAAAAUUCUUUCUGAAUUGAUGCAUAGGAUCUUUGUCUUAGUCCUAACGAAGUUCAUGGUCCAGUUUCAUGUUCCACAAAUGAAAUUAAUAAUAACUACACGUUUUCAAUAAAGUUUCCAUUUAACAAA